rnacentral:rRNA from 1 species
ACUCCUACGGGAGGCAGCAGUGGGGAAUUUUCCGCAAUGGGCGAAAGCCUGACGGAGCAAUACCGCGUGAGGGAUGAAGGCCUGUGGGUUGUAAACCUCUUUUCUCAAGGAAGAAAUCUUGACGGUACUUGAGGAAUAAGCAUCGGCUAACUCUGUGCCAGCAGCCGCGGUAAUAC